rnacentral:rRNA from 1 species
AUACGGAGGGUGCAAGCGUUAAUCGGAAUUACUGGGCGUAAAGCGUACGUAGGCGGUUUAUUAAGUCAGAUGUGAAAGCCCCGGGCUUAACCUGGGAACUGCAUUUGAAACUAGUAGACUAGAGUAUGGUAGAGGGGGGUAGAAUUCCUAGUGUAGCGGUGAAAUGCGUAGAUAUUCGGAGGAAUACCAGUGGCGAAGGCGGCCCCCUGGACCAAUACUGACGCUGAGGUACGAAAGCGUGGGGAGCGAACAGGAUUAGAAACCCCAGUAGUCC